CUUGCUGCAUGCUUUAUACAUGCAAGUCGAACGGAGGCCCUAGCUUGCUAGGUGUCCUUAGUGGCGCACGGGUGAGUAACACGUGGGAACAUACCUUAUAGUACGGAAUAACUGCGGGAAACUGUAGCUAAUACCGUAUACUCCAGUAAUGGGAAAGAUUUAUCGCUAUAAGAUUGGCCCGCGCAAGAUUAGCUUGUUGGUGAGGUAAAAGCUCACCAAGGCUUCGAUCUUUAGCUGGUUUGAGAGGACGAUCAGCCACACUGGGACUGAGACACGGCCCAGACUCCUACGGGAGGCAGCAGUAGGGAAUAUUGGACAAUGGGGGCAACCCUGAUCCAGCAAUGCAGCGUGAGUGACGAAGGCCUUAGGGUUGUAAAACUCUUUCAUCGGUGAGGAUAAUGACAGUAGCCGAAGAAGAAGGACCGGCUAAUUCCGUGCCAGCAGCCGCGGUAAUACGGAAGGUCCUAGCGUUGUUCGGAAUUACUGGGCGUAAAGCGCAUGUAGGCGGAACAGAAAGUUAGAAGUGAAAUCCCUGGGCUCAACCUAGGAAUUGCUUUUAAAACUUCUGUUCUGGAAUUCAGGAGAGGAAAAUGGAAUUUCCAGUGUAGAGGUGAAAUUCGUAGAUAUUGGAAGGAACACCAGUGGCGAAGGCGAUUUUCUGGACUGAUAUUGACGCUGAGAUGCGAAGGCAUGGGUAGCAAACGGGAUUAGAUACCCCGGUAGUCCAUGCAGUAAACGAUGGGUGCUAGUCGUCGGACUUUUGUUCGGUGUCGUAGCUAACGCGUUAAGCACCCCGCCUGGGGAGUACGGU
rnacentral:rRNA from 1 species